rnacentral:lncRNA from 1 species
AACCUGGUUUGACACUAUUUAGCCUCAGUCAACUUGGCUUCCAUGAGCACACAUAAUGAAGGAAUCUCAACCUCUACGGGGAGCACUGCUUCCAUACCAUAUACAAGAGAGAAAGGGGUUUCCCCUGUUGAAGUGCAGAUGGAUGUACGAUACCCGUGCAAAGCAAAUGAGAGCAUCUCAUGCCAAUCUUUAUAUGUGACAACCAU